rnacentral:rRNA from 1 species
GACGAACGCUGGCGGCGUGCCUAAUACAUGCAAGUCGAACGCACAGUUUAUACCGUAGCUUGCUACACCAUAGACUGUGAGUUGCGAACGGGUGAGUAACGCGUAGGUAACCUGCCUGGUAGCGGGGGAUAACUAUUGGAAACGAUAGCUAAUACCGCAUAAUAUUGAUUAUUGCAUGAUAAUUAAUUGAAAGGUGCAAUUGCACCACUACCAGAUGGACCUGCGUUGUAUUAGCUAGUAGGUGAGGUAACGGCUCACCUAGGCGACGAUACAUAGCCGACCUGAGAGGGUGAUCGGCCACACUGGGACUGAGACACGGCCCAGACUCCUACGGGAGGCAGCAGUAGGGAAUCUUCGGCAAUGGACGAAAGUCUGACCGAGCAACGCCGCGUGAGUGAAGAAGGUUUUCGGAUCGUAAAGCUCGGUUGUAAGAGAAGAACGGGUGUGAGAGUGGAAAGUUCACACUGUGACGGUAUCUUACCAGAAAGGGACGGCUAACUACGUG